GUGGGGAAUUUUGCGCAAUGGGCGAAAGCCUGACGCAGCGACGCCGCGUGGAGGAUGAAGGCCCUCGGGUCGUAAACUCCUGUCGGGCGGGAAGAAAUCCGUCCGGUGAACAGCCGGGCGGCCUGACUGUACCGCCAAAGGAAGCCCCGGCUAACUCCGUGCCAGCAGCCGCGGUAAUACGGAGGGGGCAAGCGUUGUUCGGAAUCAUUGGGCGUAAAGGGCGUGUAGGCGGCCUGACCAAGUCGGAUGUGAAAUCCCUCGGCUCAACCGAGGAACUGCAUCCGAAACUGGUUGGCUGGAGUCCGGGAGAGGACAGCGGAAUUCCCAGUGUAGCGGUGAAAUGCGUAGAUAUUGGGAAGAACACCGGUGGCGAAGGCGGCUGUCUGGACCGGUACUGACGCUGAGACGCGAAAGCCAGGGGAGCGAAUGGGAUUAGAAACCCUUGUAGUCC
rnacentral:rRNA from 1 species